UAGGGAAUCUUCCGCAAUGGGCGAAAGCCUGACGGAGCAACGCCUCGUGAGUGAUGAAGGUCUUCGGAUCGUAAAACUCUGUUAUUAGGGAAGAACUAAUGUGUAAGUAACUAUGCACGUCUUGACGGUACCUAAUCAGAAAGCCACGGCUAACUACGUGCCAGCAGCCGCGGUAAUACGUAGUUGGCAAGCGUUAUCCGGAGUUAUUGGGCGUAAAGCGCGCGUAGGCGGUUGUUUAAGUCUGAUGUGAAAGCCCACGGCUCAACCGUGGAGGGUCAUUGGAAACUGGAAAACUUGAGUGCAGAAGAGGAAAGGGGAAUUCCAUGUGUAGCGGUGAAAUGCGCAGGGAUAAGGAGGAACACCAGUGGCGAAGGCGACUUUCUGGUCUGUAACAGACGCUGAUGUGCGAAAGCGUGGGGAUCAAACAGG
rnacentral:rRNA from 1 species